GGGGCAGCUUUCCUGACUGCUCGGAGACAAAGCCUCCGACCCAGUCUGUCCCACGCCCGACCAUGGCUUUAUUAUUCUUCUGAAUGGUCUCCUGACCUGUGAAACAACACACCUCGGCAGUGCUCACUCAUGACGAAGGCUCGUUGUGCUCUCUCAUGGCUUCAUUUGAAGCCCGUGGCCUACACUACCUCAUCACGAUGCCAACAAGGUUGCCUUCCUGGCUUGACUGUGCCUGGCUCAACUUUCCCAAGAUUCAGUGUGGACCUCCCCGUGGGGACCAGGCCAACAAACGAUGGACUCCCGCAUGCUGUUGGCCUCAUGUCCCCUCGGGAGGUGUGGAGUGUCCUGACACCUCUCCUCUAUGAGUCAGGAGAGCCAGGCUACACUCAGACUCUCAUUCCGUGACUCG